rnacentral:tRNA from 1 species
AGCCUCGUAGCUCAGCUGGUAAAGCGUGCGCGUACAAAGCGUAGGCGGCGUUCAUGAGUGAAUUCGAAUCCCACUGAGGCUA